rnacentral:tRNA from 1 species
GCCUGGCUGUCUCAGUGGGUAGAGCACGCAACUCUUGGUCUCGUGAGGUUGUGAGUUCGAGCCCCACGUUAGGCA